GGCUCAGUGGUCUAGUGGUAUGAUUCUCGCUUUGGGUGCGAGAGGCCGCGGGUUCCAUUCCCGUCUGAGCCC
rnacentral:tRNA from 2 species